AAUCAACGCUGGCGGCGUGCCUCAGACAUGCAAGUCGAACGCGAAAUUUCCCUUCGGGGAGAAAGUAGAGUGGCGCACGGGUGAGUAACACGUAGGUAAUUUGCCUUUGGGUGGGGAAUAACUCAGGGAAACUUGAGCUAAUAUCGCAUAAUGCAGCGGCUCGACAUCGAGACAGUUGUUAAAGCGGGGGAUUGGAGCAAUCCGACCUCGCGCCUAAAGAGAAGCCUGCGGCAGAUUAGCUAGUUGGUAAGGUAAUGGCUUACCAAGGCGACGAUCUGUAACCGGCCUGAGAGGGCGGUCGGUCACACUGACACUGACAUACGGGUCAGACUCCUACGGGAGGCAGCAGUCGGGAAUUUUGGGCGAAUGGGCGCAAGCCUGACCCAGCAACGCCGCGUGAAGGAUG
rnacentral:rRNA from 1 species